UACGUAGGGUACAAGCGUUGUCCGGAAUUAUUGGGCGUAAAGAGCUCGUAGGCGGUCUGUCGCGUCUGCUGUGAAAACUCAGGGCUUAACCCUGAGCUUGCAGUGGGUACGGGCAGACUAGAGUGCGGUAGGGGAGACUGGAAUUCCUGGUGUAGCGGUGAAAUGCGCAGAUAUCAGGAGGAACACCGGUGGCGAAGGCGGGUCUCUGGGCCGUAACUGACGCUGGAGGAGCGAAAGCAUGGGGAGCGAACAGG
rnacentral:rRNA from 1 species